UGUUGACCUCAAAUCAGGUAAGACUACCCGCUGAACUUAAGCAUAUCAAUAAGCGGAGGA
rnacentral:rRNA from 1 species